rnacentral:rRNA from 1 species
GUGGGGAAUAUUGGACAAUGGGCGCAAGCCUGAUCCAGCCAUGCCGCGUGUGUGAAGAAGGCCUUCGGGUUGUAAAGCACUUUUGUCCGGGAAGAAAUCUUCCAGGUUAAUACCCUGGGAGGCUGACGGUACCGGAAGAAUAAGCACCGGCUAACUUCGUGCCAGCAGCCGCGGUAAUACGAAGGGUGCAAGCGUUACUCGGAAUUACUGGGCGUAAAGCGUGCGUAGGUGGUUCGUUAAGUCUGCCGUGAAAGCCCCGGGCUCAACCUGGGAAUGGCGGUGGAUACUGGCGGGCUAGAGUGCGGUAGAGGGUGGUGGAAUUCCCGGUGUAGCAGUGAAAUGCGUAGAGAUCGGGAGGAACAUCUGUGGCGAAGGCGGCCACCUGGACCAGCACUGACACUGAGGCACGAAAGCGUGGGGAGCAAACAGGAUUAGAAGCCCGAGUAGUCC